GUUUUUUUUUUCUUUUUAAAAAAUAAUUCGUUUUUCAGAAAGUCUGAAAGAAAAAAAAAAAAAGAACCCCUAAAUAAAACUAUUUAAGAGUUUAAAAGAGUUGCAUUCUUAUUAUGUAAGGAUGAUUUCAAAAACUUUUUAACAUAUAGUUAAUUCUUCCAUGUGGAGGUAUUCAAUACUGUAUUGUAAGGAAAUCUUAUGGAAAACUCUUUAUAUGCAGUAUAGAAAAGUAACAUAGAUACUAGUAAGAGGGGAGGGGCACCCUGACCUAGAUUUGGCCGUCUUUUCCAAAUCAGGGCAUUCAGCCAUUCCAGAACUGUCUCAGUGACGGACUGUCAGGUUCGUCUGACUGGACCAACGUUGAUCUGUCGGUCCGUCUCAGAACCCCACGUAGACCAGCAGUUGUAACUCUGUAUUUGGUACCACGGUGAGAUGCUCUAAAGUGAUUGCUGACAGGACCAGAAGGACUAAAAGGACCAGGCAGCCGUGGACGGUGUGACUUGGACCAGCGGCUUUCAGUUGUGGCUUUAGUGACUGCAGUUGCCUUGCCAGUAGAAUGCAGAGUACUAAUGCAAGAGCUUCAUUUACAUCAGAGAUACCAAACUGUGGGAUGUGGGCAACGCCAGUGGCAAAUAUUUAGUCCUGGUACAUGGAUGGCAAUAUCAUAAGCACACCAAUGUCUAACCAUCUCUGCAGCCACUCCCUUUAAUCUUUGCCCUGAAUCUCCAUGUAGUUAAAAAACAUACUGGCUAAGAGUCAUGAAAUCAGUCAUGUUCAGAUGAGAAUUUUAGGUUUACUGUAUGGUGUGUGGGGAUUAAAAAGAUGAAUGCACACAAAAAGAAAUCUUAGAAAAUUUGUUAUUGUUGAAAAUAAUUGUACAACUAAGUCAUUUUAACGGAAAUCUCGGACUCCUUCAGUUGCAAUGUUUCACUGAUUGGGGCUUUGAUUUUUCUAAGUUUUUCAAGCUAGCCAGAUUACUCAAUGUGGGGCUAAUGCUCAGUUCCUAAGUUGUGACAUGUAACAAAAGAAAAAGACCUUCUGUUGUUACCUCAAUUCUUAGCACAGUGGCCCCUCUGGUCUGGCACCUCUGUGGUUAAGAAUCUGGGUUUCUCCCCUAUUUUCAGGGGCUCUGACUUGGCUGUUAGCUACACUGCUCCCGGCAGUGCUUGGAGGUGUGAGUGAAUGGGUAUGUGUCAGAUUCUGUUUUGUUAGCAUGUUUGUAUGUCGGUGAGGGGAAAACAAAGCUAUCAUGGAGAAUACAGAAACAUUAUUUAAGAUUUGCCUGAACUUUUUGUUUUAACUUACCCUUUUUUGUGUUUUUUUUUGUUUUUUUCGAGACAGGGUUUCUCUGUAGCCCUGGCUGUCCUGGAACUCACUCUGUAGACCAGGCUGGCCUCGAACUCAGAAAUCCGCCUGCCUCUGCCUCCCGCGUGCUGGGAUUAAAGGCGUGCGCCACCACGCCCGACUAACUUCCCAAUGUUUAGCUUGGUUUGAAACUGCUCUUUGUGGACUUAGUGGUAAGCCAGUGUGGUAUGGCCUUUAGAAGGGACUUUCGUGGAGAUGCACCCCGCAGAUGAGGCAGGCUCUCUGUCAUCCUGACACAACCACUCAAACUUAUUCCUCCAACUGAAUUUCCUUUAAAAUUCUUCAAAGAACUCAAUUUGGCACACUUGCAGUUUAUGCAGCUGGCUCUCCCCUUCCCCCUUAAUUACUGUUUUGUGAGAGUCACCUUUAUUUCCACAUAGUCUGUGUGACCAAGGAGUAGCAUCCGGUUACUCAGCUGGAGCCCCACAAGCCUAUAUAGUUAAUCCCUCCAAAGACAGUUUCAGGAGAGGCUUUUUGUAUACUUUUAUUGGAUAUUUAGCGUCCUGUGGUAUGUUUGUGGUAUAGGAAUGUCAUGGUAAAUUGUUUUUCAAUAAAUGUUUUAAAACUUAAGUUUUCACAUGGAUUAUUUGUAUUUAAUCUUCAUUUUUGGUGGUGUGCACAUACAGUGUUUUGUAUAGUCAGAUAACUUCCGGGCUCAUCUUCCUUAGCUCAGUUCAACUGAACUCGCACUCAGUGAUAAAGGAACAUGGUCUUAGAAGCCUUGACUACAGGGUGAUAAUGUCAGUUGGCAACCAGCCCCCACCGCCAGCAGCAGCUCUAUCAGCUGCUCCAUCUGACCAUUCCUUAAUAUUGUUCUCUGUAAGUUACUAAAGGCUACUCUAAUGCCUACACUCUAGCACUCCAUCUUCUUAGUGAUAUGACUUUAUAUGUUCUGAUUCUAGUGAAAAGAAUGCCCUGAUCGUUUCAAGGGUGGGAUUCAUCCCUCAGCAAGGGUGAUGUAGUGAGAGGAACGCCACCGUAAUUUUAUUUUAAAUAUUAUUAAAGCAGGGUGUGGCACAUAUCUAUAAUGUCAGUAUUCAGGAGACUGAGUGAGGUAAGAGACUGAGUUCCAGGCAGCCUGGGCUACAAAGGGAGAUUGUCUCCAAACUCUAAAAGGAAAAACUGAAUAAAAUUUACCUCAGAAUAAUCAGUGGCUUGCAUGUAAUUUUAAAUAAGGGCCUCUGCUCUCACCCUCCCCUGGAUUCUCGUGUUCCUAAAGUCUGGUGCUAUUCCAUUUGGGGGCAUGAGGAGCCUGUGCAUGCAUGUGACCCAGGGAGUCACUUGUUCGGUGUAAUAGCGCCAACUGAGUAAAAGCUCAGUGCACAACAUUUAUGGUCCUCAAACUAGGCUUUGCCCUGAGGAUUUAAACCCUUUCUUUCUCCAUCCAUGUACAUUCAUUUUUAUAAACAUCUCACCAGCACCCUGCCCGGGUAUUGCUGCCUGUGAGAAUCAAUGAUUUGAAUGGAGCCCUUUGUCCUAGACCAUGGGAAUGUCUUGUGAGCAUUCAGUACAGGGAACUGCACGUGCUGGCACAAGUUCAAUCCCAACUCCAUGGGAGGCUGAAACAGGAGAAUCACUUGGGAUGCCCCAGGAUGGCCUAGUGAUAAGACCCUGUCUCAAGAAAUGCAGUAGUGCACCAGCUGCCAGCCUGGAAGUCUGAGCAGCCAUUGAACUUGAUUGUCUUUAUAGGCAAAACGCGAUGCAAGCUUUUGGCCAAAAUUUUGCAAAUUCAAAGAAUGUUUUGCUAAGUUACAGAUGUUGUUAACUGCCAUCUUUUUUCUUUUUUAUAUAUAUGUUUUCCCCUAGGGUGUUUAGCCUUGCUGCUUCCAAUCUUCUUUUUCUGGAUGGCAAAGUUACUACUGGAAAGAAAUUAUUUAUAAUUACUGAAUUUUAAGAGUUUUAUUUUGUUUUAAAAAUUAACACUUUUCACCUCUUGGCUUUAGAGGACUUCAGAUUAGCUGGAAUUAAAAAAAAAAAGAUUUAAGUAGAACAUUUGGAUUAGUGUACAGAUCUUAACACUAGUAUUUCUUUUGUCCCAAAUCUCAGGAAUGUUUUAGGCAGAAAACUGGCUUUUCCCCUGAUGGUGAUUGAAGGAGGGUGCUUUAGGAUUGAUUAAAUAGCACUGUUUUAAUUGCAGUUCUAGGUAUCUAUAGCAUGAGUGGCCUUAAUGAGUUUGUUGAAGUGCACAUGUUUUUCAGAAGUAAAAUUUAAGAUUAAAUAUAUAUGCUAUAUAUAGAUAUCUAGAAAACUUGGUUGUGGUGCACAAAGUGUUGAAUCACUGAAUCGCAGGUACCAUUUGUAUAACAUCACUUGUUUCUGUAUAUUCCUUUUAUGGGAAAAUAUGUUGCCAUGGUGACUAAAAACUUUUCAAUUUAGUUUUACUUUUAUGUGAAUGCUACAUUUUAUUAAAUAUUACCAGGUCAGUACUAUUUUUAUACCUUAUUAAGUAACGGGUUUUAGUUUAAUAGGCUC
rnacentral:lncRNA from 1 species